UACGAAGGGGACUAGCGUUGUUCGGAUUUACUGGGCGUAAAGCGCGCGUAGGCGGAUCGCUAAGUCAGGGGUGAAAUCCCAGGGCUCAACCCUGGAACUGCCUUUGAUACUGACGAUCUGGAGAUCGGGAGAGGUUGGUGGAAUUCCGAGUGUAGAGGUGAAAUUCGUAGAUAUUCGGAGGAACACCGGUGGUGUAGACGGCUUUCUGGACCGUAACUGACGCUGAGACACGAAAGCGUGGGUAGCAAACAGG
rnacentral:rRNA from 1 species